AGUGAACGCUGGCGGUAGGCCUAACACAUGCAAGUCGAACGAGUGGCGGACGGGUGAGGAAUACAUCGGAAUCUACUCUGUCGUGGGGGAUAACGGAGGGAAACUUACGCUAAUACCGCAUACGAUUGAAUGAGCCGCUGUCGGAUUAGCUAGUUGGCGGGGUAAAGGCGUACCAAGGCGACGAUCCGUAACUGGUCUGAGAGGAUGAUCAGUCACACUGGAACUGAGACACGGUCCAGACUCCUACGGGAGGCAGCAGUGGGGAAUAUUGGGAAAUGGACGAAAGCCUGAUCCAGCCAUGCCGCGUGUAUGAAGAAGGCCUUCGGGUUGUAAAGGACUGUCAGCGGGGAGGCGUUACCCGCAGAAGAAGCACCGGCUAACUCCGUGCCAGCCGCCGCGGUAAUUC
rnacentral:rRNA from 1 species